UGAGCCAAGUUUAGGGUUUCUUAAAAACCCAAGCAGUAUUGAACUGAAGAGUUUGAUCAUGGCUCAGAUUGAACGCUGGCGGCAGGC
rnacentral:rRNA from 1 species